CUUUUUGUGUGGAGUAACUGGCAAAAAUUAACUUGUGUAACCAUUGGAAACCUCCAGGAGAAGGAGGGCGGCCCUACCCCUACAAGAGUGUGGUGGGCGAGCCGUUAGAAGUACAAAUUCAAGCAGCCACCGCAACGAGACUUAUUGUGGUCGUAUUUCCCAUCGCCUUACCGUAGCCCAAGCGCAGUGGAGGACACCGGGCGCUUCCCUUGUUGUGGUGCACUUAUAGUGUGGUGAGUGAGACUGUGUAAUAAAUCUUUUCACGUUGGAGUGGUACUGUGUAUUUGCUGCGGGUUGCUGUGUGUCUUGUAGACGAAGCCCCGCAUCAUCCAUUUUCUUCCACUGGGCAGAGGACGGAGAGGCCAACGACUACAGAAACCACUGUUACUAUAAAUAGUGUGCUGUUUGGAGUACGAAGGGACGCAGACUAAGAGCUGUCCGUGACCGUGAGUAAACCAUUGGAAACAUUCGUGGUGUGAACUUACCUGUGUCUGUUUUGUCGCAGAGUCAGAGGCGAAAGGGUCCGCCGCCCCGUGGUCUCUACGAAAAGGGCGCCCCCGUCUAGGAAUCGAUCGGCCUAUGGGCAUUGGAGAUAGGGCAGCGCUCGACCCGGUGAGGUGGUGUGUGACCUUCGCCCCUCUGCUGACUUACAGAGAAGAACCAUACUUACCCAGAAAGCUGUAAACAGCAGAGCCGCGGCCACCUGUGGAGAGAGAGCAGAACGAGAGUGAAAAAUAGAAGAACAAACUGUGAACGUGAUACCUACCCAGAAAGCUGUAAACAGCAGAGCCGUGGCCUCCUGUGGAGAGAACGGAAAACGAGAAGGAACAUGAGGAGAAUGGACUGUGUGAAGAUACAGUGGUGGUGGAGGAGAGCCUAGAGUGGCCAUUGUUUUAAGUCCCCCGUUUCCCCUUCCCUAUUUAAUAUUUUUAAGUAAUUUAAUAAAGGAUAUUUUAAUUUUA